rnacentral:lncRNA from 1 species
GCCAGCCCGAUUCUGCUGUGGUGUCUGUGAAUCCAGGAAAACUCUUUUCUGUUCAGACUCGCACAUUCCACACUGACAUCAGGGAUAGUCCAUGAACAAGCCUGUGUAGGUACACACACAGCCACGCUAGACACGUCAUCAUAGACACAAAUGUGGCUGCACACACAUGUGCUCUUUCUUCCAGAGAAGCCUCCCUCUCUCCUGCCCCGGUUGUCUUUUCUAAGACCUCCCAGCACAGAUGGCCCUUCAUAAGCAAUCCUUUCCCAUCUGCCCCCAGGACCACACUGGGAUCUGUGCCUCUUGGUUUCCGUAUCUGCCUCACUCAUUAGGCUAUGAUACUUCGAGAACAAGUUUGCAGCUUAUAUCCCCAGUUCUGACAUCUGAGUUUGGCAUGUUUGCUUUCUUUAAAGGAAGAGAUUUCCAUUGGGACAACUCUGAAAACUAG